rnacentral:rRNA from 1 species
CCUACGGGGGGCAGCAGUCGAGAAUCAUUCACAAUGGGGGAAACCCUGAUGGUGCGACGCCGCGUGGGGGAAUGAAGGUCUUCGGAUUGUAAACCCCUGUCAUGUGGGAGCAAAUUAAAAAGAUAGUACCACAAGAGGAAGAGACGGCUAACUCUGUGCCAGCAGCCGCGGUAAUACAGAGGUCUCAAGCGUUGUUCGGAAUCACUGGGCGUAAAGCGUGCGUAGGCUGUUUCGUAAGUCGUGUGUGAAAGGCGCGGGCUCAACCCGCGGACGGCACAUGAUACUGCGAGACUAGAGUAGUGGAGGGGGAAGCGGAAUUCUCGGUGUAGCAGUGAAAUGCGUAGAUAUCGGGAGGAACACUCGUGGCGAAGGCGGGUUCCUGGACAUUAACUGACGCUGAGGCACGAAGGCCAGGGGAGCGAAAGGGAUUAGAUACCCUUGUAGUC